rnacentral:rRNA from 1 species
GGUUAAGCGACUAAGCGUACACGGUGGAUGCCCUGGCAGUCAGAGGCGAUGAAGGACGUGCUAAUCUGCGAAAAGCGUCGGUAAGGUGAUAUGAACCGUUAUCACCGGCGAUGUCCGAAUGGGGAAACCCAGUGCAAUUCGUUGCACUAUCGUUAACUGAAUACAUAGGUUAACGAGGCGAACCGGGGGAACUGAAACAUCUAAGUACCCCGAGGAAAAGAAAUCAACCGAGAUUCCCCCAGUAGCGGCGAGCGAACGGGGAGCAGCCCAGAGUCUGAAUCAGCUUGUGUGUUAGUGGAACGGUCUGGAAAGUCCGACGGUACAGGGUGAUAGUCCCGUACACCAAAAUGCACAGGCUGUGAACUCGAAGAGUAGGGCGGGACACGUGGUAUCCUGUCUGAAUAUGGGGGGACCAUCCUCCAAGGCUAAAUACUCCUGACUGACCGAUAGUGAACCAGUACCGUGAGGGAAAGGCGAAAAGAACCCCGGCGAGGGGAGUGAAAAAGAACCUGAAACCGUGUACGUACAAGCAGUGGGAGCACCUUCGGGUGUGACUGCGUACCUUUUGUAUAAUGGGUCAGCGACUUAUAUUCUGUAGCAAGGUUAACCGUAUAGGGGAGCCGCAGGGAAACCGAGUCUUAACUGGGCGUUAAGUUGCAGGGUAUAGACCCGAAACCCGGUGAUCUAGCCAUGGGCAGGUUGAAGGUUGGGUAACACUAACUGGAGGACCGAACCGACUAAUGUUGAAAAAUUAGCGGAUGACUUGUGGCUGGGGGUGAAAGGCCAAUCAAACCGGGAGAUAGCUGGUUCUCCCCGAAAGCUAUUUAGGUAGCGCCUCGUGAACUCAUCUUCGGGGGUAGAGCACUGUUUCGGCUAGGGGGUCAUCCCGACUUACCAACCCGAUGCAAACUACGAAUACCGAAGAAUGUUAUCACGGGAGACACACGGCGGGUGCUAACGUCCGUCGUGAAGAGGGAAACAACCCAGACCGCCAGCUAAGGUCCCAAAGUCAUGGUUAAGUGGGAAACGAUGUGGGAAGGCACAGACAGCCAGGAUGUUGGCUUAGAAGCAGCCAUCAUUUAAAGAAAGCGUAAUAGCUCACUGGUCGAGUCGGCCUGCGCGGAAGAUGUAACGGGGCUAAACCAUGCACCGAAGCUGCGGCAGCGACACUAUGUGUUGUUGGGUAGGGGAGCGUUCUGUAAGCCUGCGAAGGUGUGCUGUGAGGCAUGCUGGAGGUAUCAGAAGUGCGAAUGCUGACAUAAGUAACGAUAAAGCGGGUGAAAAGCCCGCUCGCCGGAAGACCAAGGGUUCCUGUCCAACGUUAAUCGGGGCAGGGUGAGUCGACCCCUAAGGCGAGGCCGAAAGGCGUAGUCGAUGGGAAACAGGUUAAUAUUCCUGUACUUGGUGUUACUGCGAAGGGGGGACGGAGAAGGCUAUGUUAGCCGGGCGACGGUUGUCCCGGUUUAAGCAUGUAGGCUGAUUGUCCAGGCAAAUCCGGAUAAUCAAGGCUGAGGUGUGAUGACGAGGCACUACGGUGCUGAAGUAACAAAUGCCCUGCUUCCAGGAAAAGCCUCUAAGCAUCAGGUAACAUCAAAUCGUACCCCAAACCGACACAGGUGGUCAGGUAGAGAAUACCAAGGCGCUUGAGAGAACUCGGGUGAAGGAACUAGGCAAAAUGGUGCCGUAACUUCGGGAGAAGGCACGCUGGUGUGUAGGUGAAGUCCCUGCGGAUGGAGCUGAGACCAGUCGAAGAUACCAGCUGGCUGCAACUGUUUAUUAAAAACACAGCACUGUGCAAACACGAAAGUGGACGUAUACGGUGUGACGCCUGCCCGGUGCCGGAAGGUUAAUUGAUGGGGUUAUCCGUAAGGAGAAGCUCUUGAUCGAAGCCCCGGUAAACGGCGGCCGUAACUAUAACGGUCCUAAGGUAGCGAAAUUCCUUGUCGGGUAAGUUCCGACCUGCACGAAUGGCGUAAUGAUGGCCAGGCUGUCUCCACCCGAGACUCAGUGAAAUUGAACUCGCUGUGAAGAUGCAGUGUACCCGCGGCAAGACGGAAAGACCCCGUGAACCUUUACUAUAGCUUGACACUGAACAUUGAGCCUUGAUGUGUAGGAUAGGUGGGAGGCUUUGAAGCGUGGACGCCAGUCUGCGUGGAGCCAACCUUGAAAUACCACCCUUUAAUGUUUGAUGUUCUAACGUUGGCCCCUGACCGGGGUUGCGGACAGUGUCUGGUGGGUAGUUUGACUGGGGCGGUCUCCUCCCAAAGCGUAACGGAGGAGCACGAAGGUUAGCUAAUCCUGGUCGGACAUCAGGAGGUUAGUGCAAUGGCAUAAGCUAGCUUGACUGCGAGCGUGACGGCGCGAGCAGGUGCGAAAGCAGGUCAUAGUGAUCCGGUGGUUCUGAAUGGAAGGGCCAUCGCUCAACGGAUAAAAGGUACUCCGGGGAUAACAGGCUGAUACCGCCCAAGAGUUCAUAUCGACGGCGGUGUUUGGCACCUCGAUGUCGGCUCAUCACAUCCUGGGGCUGAAGUAGGUCCCAAGGGUAUGGCUGUUCGCCAUUUAAAGUGGUACGCGAGCUGGGUUUAGAACGUCGUGAGACAGUUCGGUCCCUAUCUGCCGUGGGCGCUGGAGAAUUGAGGGGGGCUGCUCCUAGUACGAGAGGACCGGAGUGGACGCAUCACUGGUGUUCGGGUUGUCAUGCCAAUGGCACUGCCCGGUAGCUAAAUGCGGAAGAGAUAAGUGCUGAAAGCAUCUAAGCACGAAACUUGCCCCGAGAUGAGUUCUCCCUGAGACUUUAAGUCUCCUGAAGGAACGUUAAAGACGAUGACGUUGAUAGGCCGGGUGUGUAAGCGCAGCGAUGCGUUGAGCUAACCGGUACUAAUGAACCGUGAGGCUUAACCUUAC